UGCAAAGUUGCGCUUCGCGAUGACAAACAACAAGAAUUGUUGCCUUGUGGAUUGUACGAACACGUACAGCAGAUGUCCACCAGGAACAGGCUUCUUUAGCUUCCCUACAAGACCGUGUUAUGUGCAUUCAGAGGCAGGAGCAGAUUUGUGCUGUUCGCCGUUGCAAUGAACAUUUUUACGGUGGUGUCCAGUCGAAAGGUCCGUCAUCUCCGUCGUACGCGCCAAGCAUUUUCCCUGCUCGCUACAGAGUACGGAAGACAAAUUAGGGGGGCAGCUAGCAGGUACGAAAGGCACAAGAGAAGUGUGUCCAAGCCAGUCGAGUCGUGUGGCUCAGAAGUCUACAAGUACGGCCAACAACCUUCGUCACCCACGGACACCGAGCCAUUUGUAAAUGUCACAGCAACAGUGUGCGAGGAUUACAACCGAGGGGAUUUCGUGGCUACACAACACUGCUGCAAUGUGACGACAAGGACAGCAUCUUGAGGGACUUCGGAGGAGCCUCGUUUGCUGUGUUCAUGCUGCUCCUCGAAUUCCUGACACCGACCAGAGAUGCCCGGUGCAUGGACCUCAGCAUAGGAGACAAGCUGCUUCUGUUUCUUAUGAAGCUGAAACAUGGCUUGACGUUUUCCGCACUUGCAUUUUCAGUGUGCACAGAACGACAGCAUCACGUACGUUCUACUGGGUACUGGACUCAUUAAGUUCUAAGACAUGGGGAUGGGUAAGGUGGGUUCUCAAGGGAUAUCGUUCAAGAAACAAUGCCAGGAACAUUCCGUGCUACCUAUCCUAACUGCAGGGUCAUUAUUGACUGCACUGAGGUGCCCAUUGAACAGCCCACAACAGUUUCAGACCAUGUAAACAUCUGAAGUCAUUAAAAACAUGACUUCACUAUGAAAUUUCAGGUUUGUAUUAGUCCAAGUGCGCUAGUGUCGUUUGUAUCUUCUACAUAUGGUGGAAGGGCUAGUGAUACACGCAUAGCUGCAAACUGUGGUAUUCUGAACCUUCUUGAACCAGGUGGCAUGGUCAUGGCAGACAAGGGCUUCCCAGAUAUUCAUUCGAAUCUCAUAGAAAAACGUGUCACACUUGAAAUGCCUCCUUUUUGGAAGAAUGGUGCAGCAGUAUACAACAGCUCAGGUAUACUGCUGCAAGAAUUUGCCUCUAUAGUUCGUUGCACAAGUAUUCAUGACACAGUGCAGCUGUGGAAGGCUUUCAAAUUCCCGGUGUCGUGGCGCUAUAUCACACUGGAGAGCUUAGCAGAAUUUUAGCUCAACGUUGUCGUGCGCAGUUGUACUUUCUCGGCAGAGGAGAACGUGCAGACAUCCUGCAAAAAAAUUCCUAACGUAGGUAGGUAUGUAUUGUAGCAAUAAAGAGUC